GUUUAAAUAGUUUAAUUAAGAAUUAUAGUUUGUGAUAUUAUAGGUGUAAUUAUUUACUUUAGAUC
rnacentral:tRNA from 1 species